rnacentral:lncRNA from 10 species
UGACAUUUGAGAUGCCAGUGAUAGUUAUCUACUAUAAAAUAGGUCCCACAUAGCUGCCAGAGUAUAAAAAUAACAAAACAGAAUCCCUUAAAACGUUACAUAAUUCAGAAUAACUGUUAUUUUCCCUAAUGAGCUAGAACUUUACCCAUAUAUUUUUUUCUGAUUGUUUAAAUAAGUUGGAAGGGUAUUUGUUAUGAAAAAACUCUGUAGCAAGGUAGUCCAGGUCUGGUGUGGUGGCUGUUUUCCAGAGACCUCAGUAACCCAAGAUUCUUCCACCUUUACUGUUCCCAUCUGGAGGGUAUGGCCCUUAUCUUCAUAAUCCAAGUUGGAACUGUGGAUAUCACAGUCCAGUUGGCAGGCUGGAGGGAGACACAAAAGACAUUGACAAGCUGAAUGAUGAGAUUUCUUAGAAUCUGCUAAAAUUUCCCUGGACAGAACUUAGUUAUGUGCCUUGGGUGUUACCUGUCUUCAAGGAAG